rnacentral:lncRNA from 1 species
CUCUCGUUCUACUCAUCAUGUCCAGCUGGAGCCUCUUGUCUGUUUAUCUGAGUGCAGCUUCCCUGAUGCUGCUGACCGCUGUGUCGGAGGCUCAGUAUUACGACUUAACACCGGCUCCAGACUACGACGACUACAACGCCACCUUCGAGUACAGCUUCUACAGUAACGCCAGCAGUGAAGACUUGGACAAGUUUAGCGAGCUAUUCAUCGAUGAAGAGGAAGAGGCCGUUACCAUGACAACCAUUCACGGAACCACAGAGUGGGGCCGGGUCGACGAUCGUAACACUGCAUCACUUCCUGUUUCUCUGGAAAUCAGGACGCUUGUCUGGACUCUAAUUAUCCUGAUGAGCCUGAACAUGCAGCAGCUCCAACACACACUAUGAGACGCACACUGAGACACACACUCAGCAGCUGACGUCUGAUCAGUUCCAUCCUGCAGAAACCAGUGUGGGUCACCUGAUGUGAGGUGGGAGGGGUUUCAUUCACCUGCGUGACCUUUGACCCCUGCGGUGAGGAGCCACGGUGUCCCUCCCGUGGGUUCACAGGUGGACCAAUCACAGAGCACCACAGCAACACAGAGACUCUUCCUCGUUCUUCUUCACCUUAUCACAGCGUUUCACUGUUAGUCUCUCUCUCUCUAUAUAUAAACUAUGUAAAUAUGGAGGAUUAUCCGGAUAAAUAUGGAAGUUUACUCACGUCUAAAGGGUUGAAUGAGACAUAACAACAACUCAGAGAAUAAAAUCAUCAAAUUAAAUAAAUGUAUUAAAUUAAUAUCAAAAUAUGUUUUCCCUUGUAUAUCUAUGAUGUGCUAAGUUUAACAUUCAAUUAAACCCUGUUAAUGUUAAGUUCUGAUCAGCCAUGUUGAGAGCCAUACGGAGUCAAUCGAAAUGCUUUAGCACCUUUAAGCUCAAUACACCUUUUAAAAAGCCUCUUUAAUCAGCUGGAAAAUGUUCCUGUUAGAGAUACGUGAUUCUAUAUCAGUAUAUACACUAUAUAUACAUAUAUAUAUAUAUAUAUUUAUAGAAUCUAAUUCUUCUUUCUGUAUUUGAAGGCGUUUCCUGUGAAUCAACCAGCAGCACUUUGUAAACAAACAGCACUUAUCUCUGAAUGUGUUUUCAUGUCUUAUUGUUGAGUUCUGUGUGGAAACGUAAUGAAUAAUAAGCUCAAUUAAGCAGUUUGAAUGAACAUUAACCGUCAGGACAAAAGUCUCGUUGAACGAUAACACAUUUAAAGAAAUAGGUUCAAGUUUUACGAUAUUAUAAUUGACACGUUUUGUUUCACUGCGAGAACAUUCAGGAACUUCCAGAACAAUCUAGAACAGAUUUUUGUACGUUUGUUUGUGUUUUGCAAUAAAAUGUCUGAAAG